rnacentral:lncRNA from 1 species
GAGGCAAUCGUUGCUGAAGUCAGUGUUGUAAUGGUGAAUCGGGAUUUUUAAUGAAGUGGGUGUGAUCACUCUUGACUGUUUUGUGAAAUCGGAGUUACGUCUAUGAUUGGAGAAUUAAAAGGGUGUCUAUAGGAUUGAGUAUGCGGAGUGAAUGAAAUUAAUUGGGUUAAUCUAACAAGACAGUCAGUGGAUACAAGAU